UACGAGAGGCCCAAACGUUAUUCGGAUUUACUGGGCUUAAAGAGUUCGUAGGCGGCGCAGAAAGUAGGGUGUGAAAGCCCUCGGCUCAACCGAGGAAUUGCGCCCUAAACUACUGUGCUUGAGGAACCUAGAGGUGAGCGGAACUGAUGGUGGAGCGGUGAAAUGCGUUGAUAUCAUCAGGAACACCGGAGGCGAAGGCGGCUCACUGGGGGUUAUCUGACGCUGAGGAACGAAGGCCAGGGGAGCGAACGGG
rnacentral:rRNA from 1 species